rnacentral:lncRNA from 1 species
GGUUCUGUAGGAGAAGGGGAAGCAGCAGGAUGUGGUGAUGGUUGGGCGCUGGAGCUGAGGUAGCUUUUGUGGAAAGGGUUGCCUGAGCGGUACAGGCUCAUCGUGCCACCUCCCUUGUAUUCAUCAUCUAUGUAGGUCAUCAUUUUGCUUGUUUACACUUUGCUCAUCAUGCCACCUCCCUUGCAUUCAUCAUCUAUGUAGGUCAUCAUUUUGCUUGUUUACACUUUCCUCAUUGUGUAGUUUUCACAACUAACUUAAGUUGAUCGUUAAGCUUGUUUGCAACUUAGCUCAUUGUGUCUGUGAUAUUGAUAGCAGUGCAAAUAAUGAUAGGUCUCAACUGAGUAUAUUGUCCGCAAAAAAUGAUUAAUGUUUGAACCAUUGACAACUUGGCUUGAGUUUGAACAUCAGCUUGGCUUCUUCUCCCUAGCUUGCUUUCGAUGAAGUAUUCCUGGUUAGUAGACUGCACUUGCCUAUUCCAAACAAAUACAUGACUAGAGAUGUCCUGUAAGAAAAGCUUUAACAAAUUCACUUUGGUUUUUGACUGUCCUUUAGGAUUGUAUUAAUACGAACUAGCAACUCUUUAUAUGUAUGCCAGGUUAUCUUCUGUCCAAGUUAACCAAACCAACACUGUUUUUAACAAGUUUCAAAGUCUGACAUGCAUGUAAUGUUUUAUGUAGUGUAAAUUAGAUUUGAAUUAUUUGACAAGAAACUCCAUGAGAAAAAAAUAUCAUGCAAAAGCUCUUUUGUUGUGUUUUUUUACCCAACUAGAAACCUGUCUAAAUCUGGUUGUUGGGCCUAAAGUGUCAUUAUCAAUGCUUUUUUUAGGAAGAAGCUCGAAAAUGAUAUGGGAUUGAGGUUGCCUGUUCCAAAUGCUAUAAACUCAUAGCACAUGUAAAAAUGAAACAUUAUGUUCUAUUUUAAGUUCGUGCAAAGCAUGAUAAUAAAGUUGCCCCGAUGCUUGCUGCGGCGACCACGUACGUGACCACUUCCUCGGUAAGAAAGGUACUAACUAUAUACAUAUCCCUGUUGGAAAUAUGCCCUAGAGGCAAUAAUAAAAGGAUUAUUAUUAUAUUUCCUUGUUCAUGAUAAUUGUCUUUUAUUCAGGCUAUAAUUGUGUUAUCCGGAAAUCGUAAUACAUGUGUGAAUACAUAGACCAUAAUAUGUCCCUAGUGAGCCUCUAGUUGACUAGCCCGUUGAUCAACAGAUAGUCAUGGUUUCCUGACUAUGAACAUUGGAUGUCAUUGAUAACGGGAUCACAUCAUUAGGAGAAUGAUGUGAUGGACAAGACCCAAUCCUAAGCAUAGUACAAGAUCGUGUAGUUCGUUUGCUAGAGCUUUCUAAUGUCAAGUAUCUUUUCCUUAGACCAUGAGAUCGUGUAACACCCGGAUACCGUAGGAGUGCUUUGGGUGUACCAAACGUCACAACGUAACUGGGUGACUAUAAAUGUAUACUACGGGUAUCUCCGAAAGUGUCUGUUGGGUUGACACGGAUCGAGACUGGGAUUUGUCACUCUGUAUGACGGAGAGGUAUCUCUGGGCCCACUCGGUAAUGCAUCAUCAUAAUGAGCUCAAAGUGACCAAGUGUCUGGUCACGGGAUCAUGCAUUACAGUACGAGUAAAGUGACUUGCCGGUAACGAGAUUGAACGAGGUAUUGGGAUACUGACGAUCGAAUCUCGGGCAAGUAACAUACCGAUUGACAAAGGGAACUGUAUACGGGGUUGCUUGAAUCCUCGACAUCGUGGUUCAUCCAAUGAGAUCAUCGAGGAGCAUGUGGGAGCCAACAUGGGUAUCCAGAUCCCGCUAUUGGUUAUUGACCGGAGAGCCGUCUCGGUCAUGUCUACGUGUCUCCCGAACCCGUAGGGUCUACACACUUAAGGUUGUUAGGAGUCCUGGAUGAGAUCCCGGACGUCAUGAGGAGUUCCGAAAUGGUCCGGAGGUAAAGAAUUAUAUAUGGGAAGUCGAGUUUCGGCCAUCGGGAAAGUUUCAGGGGUCACCGGUAUUGUACCGAGACCACCGGAAGGGUCCCGGAGGUCCACCGGGUGGGGCCACCCAUCCCGGAGGGCCUCAUGGGCUGAAGUGGGAGGGGAACCAGCCCCUGGUGGGCUGGUGCGCCCCCCCUGGGCCCCCCUGUGCCUAGGGUUGGGAACCCUAGGGGUGGGGCGCCUCCACUUGCCUUGGGGGGCAAGCCACCCCCCUUGGCCGCCGCCCCCCCUAGGAGAUCCCAUCUCCUAGGGCCGGCGCCCCCCUGGGGACCCUAUAUAUAGAGGGGGGAGGGAGGGCCGCCGCACCCUUGCACUUGGCCCCUCCCUUGCCCCUUGCUACACCUCUCCCUCCCACAGACGCUUGGCGAAGCCCUGCCGGGAUCCCUGCUGCAUCCACCACCACGCCGUCGUGCUGCUGGAUCUUCAUCAAUCUCUCCUUCCCCCUUGCUGGAUCAAGGAGGAGAUGUCUCCCUGACCGUACGUGUGUUGAACGCGGAGGUGCCGUCCGUUCGACGCUAGGAUCUCCGGUAAUUUGGAUCACGACGAGUACGACUCCCUCAACCCCGUUCCCUUGAACGCUUCCGCUCGAUCUACAAGGGUAUGUAGAUGCACUCCUCUCUCUCGUUGCUAGAUGAACUCAUAGAUUGAUCUUGGUGAAACCGUAGGAAUUUUUUUAUUUUUUGCAACGUUCCCCAACAGUGGCAUCAUGAGCUAGGUCUAUGCGUAGUUCUCUUUGCACGAGUAGAACACAAAUUUAUUGUGGGCGUAGAUGUUGUCAACUUUCUUGCCACUACUAGUCUUAUUUUGCUUCAGCGGUAUUGUGGGAUGAAGCGGCCCGGACCGACCUUACACGUACGCUUACGUGAGACAUGUUCCACCGACUGACAUGCACUAGUUGCAUAAGGUGGCUAGCGGGUGUCUGUCUCUCCCACUUUAGUUGGAGCGGAUUCGAUGAAAAGGGUCCUUAUGAAGGGUAAAUAGAAGUUGACAAAUCACGUUGUGGCUUUUUCGUAGGUAAGAAAACGUUCUUGCUAGAACCCUAUUGCAGCCACGUAAAAGAUGCAACAAUAAUUAGAGGACGUCUAACUUGUUUUUGCAGCAAUUGCUUUGUGAUGUGAUAUGGCCAAAAGUUGUGAUGAAUGAUAUAUAUGUGAUGUAUGAGAUCAUGUUCUUGUAAUAGGAAUCACAACUUGCAUGUCGAUGAGUAUGACAACCGACAGGAGCCAUAUGAGUUGUCUUAAUUAUUGUAUGACGCGCGUGUCAAUGAUUUAACGCCAUGUAAUUACUUUACUUUAUUGCUAAACCGUUAGCCAUAGUAGUAGAAGUAAUAGUUGGCGAGCAAGUUCAUGGAGACACGAUGAUGGAGAUCAUGAUGAUGAGAUCAUGGUGUCAUGCCGGUGACGAAGAUGAUCAUGGAGCCCCGAAGAUGGAGAUCAAAGGAGCUAUAUGAUAUUGGCCAUAUCAUGUCACUACUAUUUGAUUGCAUGUGAUGUUUAUCAUGUUUUUGCAUCUUGUUUACUUAGAACGACGGUAGUAAAUAAUAUGAUCCCUCAUAAUAAUUUCAAGAAAGUGUUCCCCCUAACUGUGCACCGUUGCGACAGUUCGUUGUUUCGAAGCACCACGUGAUGAUCGGGUGUGAUAUAUUCUAACGUUCACAUACAACGGGUGUAAGACAGAUUUACACAUGCAAAACACUUAGGUUAACUUGACGAGCCUAGCAUGUACAGACAUGUCCUCGGAACACAGAGAACGAAAGGUCGAACAUGAGUCGUAUGGAAGAUACGAUCAACAUGGAGAUGUUCAUCGAUCAUGACUAGUCCGUCUCACAUGAUGAUCGGACACGGUCUAGUCGACUCGGAUCAUGUAACACUUAGAUGACUAGAGGGAUGUCUAAUCUGAGUGGGAGUUCAUUAAAUAAUUUGAUUAGAUGAACUUAAUUAUCAUGAACUUAGUCUAAAAUCUUUGCAAAAUGUCUUGUAGAUCAUAUGGCCAACGCUCAUGUCAACAUGAACUUCAACGCGUUCCUAGAGAAAACCAAGCUGAAAGAUGAUGGCAGCAACUAUACGGACUGGGUCCGGAACCUGAGGAUCAUCCUCAUAGCUGCCAAGAUAGCAUAUGUCCUAGAAGGACCGCUAGGUGAAGCACCCAUCCUAGAGAACCAAGACGUUAUGAACGCUUGGCAGUCACGUGCUGAUGAUUACUCCCUCGUUCAGUGCGGCAUGCUUUACAGCUUAGAACCGGGGCUCCAAAAGCGUUUUGAGCAACACGGAGCAUAUGAGAUGUUCGAGGAGCUGAAAAUGGUUUUCCAAGCUCAUGCUCGGGUCGAGAGAUAUGAAGUCUCCGACAAGUUCUAUAGUUGUAAGAUGGAGGAAAAUAGUUCUGUCAGUGAGCACAUACUUAAAAUGUCUGGGUUGCAUAACUGCCUGUCCCAGCUGGACAUUAACCUCCCGGACGAGGCGGUCAUUGACAUAAUCUUUCAGUCACUCCCACCGAGCUACAAGAGCUUUGUGAUGAACUACAAUAUGCAGGGGAUGGUGAAAACUAUUCCUGAAGUAUUUUCAAUGCUGAAAUUAGCAGAGGUAGAAAUCAAAAAGGAACAUCAAGUGUUGAUGGUCAAUAAAACCACUAAGUUCAAGAAAGGCAAGGGUAAGUAGAACUUCAAGAAGGACGGCAAGGAUGUUGCCGCGCCCGGUAAGCCAGUUGCCGGGAAGAAGUCAAAGAAUGGACCCAAGCCUGAGACUGAGUGCUUUAUUGCAAAGGGAAGGGUCACUAGAAGCGGAACUGCCCCAAAUACUUAGCGGACAAGAAGACCGGCAACACUAAAGGUAUAUGUGAUAUACAUGUGAUUGAUGUGUACCUUACCAGUGCUCGUAGUAGCUCCUGGGUAUUUGAUACCGGUGCCGUUGCUCAUAUUUGUAACUCAAAGCAGGAGCUGCGGAAUAAGCGGAGACUGGCGAAGGACGAGGUGACGAUGUGUGUCGGGAAUGGUUCCAAGGUUGAUGUGAUCGCCGUCGGCACGCUACCUCUACAUUUACCCACGGGAUUAGUUUUAAACCUCAAUAAUUGUUAUUUAGUGCCAGCUUUGAGCAUGAACAUUGUAUCUGGAUCUCGUUUAAUGCGAGAUGGCUACUCAUUUAAAUCCGAGAAUAAUGGUUGUUCUAUUUAUAUGAGAGAUAUGUUUUAUGGUCAUGCCCCGCUGGUCAAUGGUUUAUUCUUAGUGAAUCUCGAACAUAAUGUUACACAUAUUCAUAAUGUGAAUAUCAAAAGAUGUAAGGUUGAUAACGAUAGUCCCACAUACUUGUGGCACUGCCGCCUUGGUCACAUUGGUGUCAAGCGCAUGAAGAAGCUCCAUGCUGAUGGGCUUUUAGAGUCUCUCGAUUAUGAAUCAUUUGACACAUGCGAACCAUGCCUCAUGGGCAAAAUGACCAAGAUUCGGUUCUCCGGAGCAAUGGAGCGAGCAACCAACUUAUUGGAAAUCAUAUAUAUUGAUGUGUGCGGUCCAAUGAGCGUUGAGGCUCGUGGAGGAUAUCAUUAUGUUCUCACUCUCACUGAUGACUUAAGUAGAUAUGGGUAUGUCUACUUGAUGAAACACAAGUCUGAGACCUUUGAAAAGUUCAAGGAAUUUCAGAAUGAGGUAGAGAAUCAACGUGACCAAAAGAUAAAGUUCUUACGAUCAGAUCGUGGAGGAGAAUAUUUAAGUCACGAAUUUGGUACGCACCUAAGGAAAUGUGGAAUCGUUUCACAACUCACGCCGCCUGGAACACCUCAGCGUAACGGUGUGUCUGAACGUCGUAAUUGCACUCUUUUGGAUAUGGUGCGAUCUAUGAUGUCUCUUACCGAUUUACCGCUAUCAUUUUGGGGAUACGCUCUAGAGACAGCUACAUUCACUUUAAAUAGGGCUCCGUCUAAAUCCGUUGAGAUGACACCGUAUGAAUUAUGGUUUGGGAAGAAACCUAAGCUGUCGUUUCUAAAAGUUUGGGGAUGCGAUGCUUAUGUCAAGAAACUUCAACCUGAAAAGCUCGAACCCAAGUCGGAAAAAUGCGUCUUCAUAGGACACCCUAAGGAAACCAUUGGGUAUACCUUCUACCUUAGAUCCGAAGGCAAGAUCUUUGUUGCCAAGAACGGAUCCUUUCUGGAAAAAGAGUUUCUCUCGAAAGGAGUAAGUGGGAGGAAAGUAGAACUCGAUGAAGUACUACCUCUUGAACCGGAAAGUAGUGCAGCUCAGGAAAAUGUUCCUGUGGUGCCUACACCGACUGGAGAGGAAAUUAAUGAUGAUGAUCAAGGUACUUCGGAUCAAGUUGCUACUGAACUUCAUAGGUCCACAAGGACACGUUCCAUGCCAGAGUGGUAUGGCAACCCUGUCCUGGAAAUCAUGUUGUUAGACAACGGUGAACCUUUGAACUAUGAAGAAGUGAUGGCGGGCCCAGAUUCCAACAAAUGGCUUGAAGCCAUGCAAUCCGAGAUAGAAUCCAUGUAUGAAAAUAAAGUAUGGACUUUAACAGACUUGCCCGAUGAUCGGCGAGCGAUAGAAAACAAAUGGAUCUUUAAGAAGAAGACGGACGCGGAUGGUAAUGUUACCAUCUAUAAAGCUCGACUUGUCGCUAAGGGUUAUCGGCAAGUUCAAGGGGUUGACUAAGAGGAGACUUUCUCUCCCGUAGCGAAGCUGAAGUCCGCCCGAAUCAUGUUAGAAAUUGCCGCAUACUAUGAUUAUGAGAUAUGGCAGAUGUACGUCAAAACGGCAUUCCUUAACGGCUAUUUUAAGGAAGAACUGUAUAUGAUGCAGCCGGAAGGUUUUGUCGACCCUAAGAAUGCUAACAAGGUAUGCAAGCUCCAACGAUCCAUUUAUGGGCUGGUGCAAGCAUCUCGGAGUUGGAACAUUCGCUUUGAUGAGAUGAUCAAAGCGUUUGGGUUUAUGCAGACUUAUGGAGAAGCCUGCGUUUACAAGAAAGUGAGUGGGAGCUCUGUAUCAUUUAUCAUAUUAUAUGUAGAUGACAUACUUCUGAUGGGAAAUGAUAUAGAACUUUUGGACAACAUUAAGGCCUACUUGAAUAAGUGUUUUUCAAUGAAGGACCUUGGAGAAGCUGCUUACAUAUUAGGCAUCAAGAUCUAUAGGGAUAGAUCGAGACGCCUCAUAGGUCUUUCACAAAGCACAUACCUUGAUAAGAUAUUGAAGAAGUUCAAUAUGGAUCAGUCCAAGAAAGGGUUCUUGCCUGUAUUGCAAGGUGUGAGAUUGAGCUCGGCUCAAUGCCCGACCACGGCCGAAGAUAAAGAAGAGAUGAGUGUCAUCCCCUAUGCCUCAGCCAUAGGAUCUAUUAUGUAUGCCAUGCUGUGUACCAGACCUGAUGUAAACCUUGCCAUAAGUUUGGUAGGAAGGUACCAAAGUAAUCCCGACAAGGAACACUGGACAGCGGUCAAGAAUAUCCUGAAGUACCCGAAAAGGACAAAGGACAUAUUUCUCGUCUAUGGAGGUGACGAAGAGCUCGUCGUAAAGGGUUACGUCGACGCUAGCUUCGACACAGAUCUGGAUGACUCUUAGUCACAAACCGGAUACGUGUAUAUGUUGAAUCGUGGAGCAGUAAGCUGGUGCAAUUGCAAGCAGAGCGUCGUGGCGGGAUCUACAUGUGAAGCGGAGUACAUGGCAGCCUCGGAGGCAGCGCAUGAAGCAAUAUGGAUGAAGGAGUUCAUCACCGACCUAGGAGUCAUACCCAAUGCGUCGGGGCCGAUCACUCUCUUUUGUGACAACACUGGAGCUAUUGCCCUUGCCAAGGAGCCCAGGUUUCACAAGAAGACCAGGCACAUCAAGCAUCGUUUCAACUCCAUCCGUGAAAAUGUUCAAGAUGGAGACAUAGAUAUUUGCAAAGUACAUACGGAUCUGAAUGUCGCAGAUCCGUUGACUAAACCUCUUCCGCGAGCAAAACAUGAUCAACACCAGAACUCUAUGGGUGUUCGAUUCAUCACAAUGUAACUAGAUUAUUGACUCUAGUGCAAGUGGGAGACUGUUGUAAAUAUGCCCUAGAGGCAAUAAUAAAAGGAUUAUUAUUAUAUUUCCUUGUUCAUGAUAAUUGUCUUUUAUUCAUGCUAUAAUUGUGUUAUCCGGAAAUCGUAAUACAUGUGUGAAUACAUAGACCACAAUAUGUCCCUAGUGAGACUUUAGUUGACUAGCCCGUUGAUCAACAGAUAGUCAUGGUUUCCUGACUAUGGACAUUGGAUGUCAAUGAUAACGGGAUCACAUCAUUAGGAGAAUGAUGUGAUGGACAAGACCCAAUCCUAAGCAUAUCACAAGAUCGUGUAGUUCGUUUGCUAGAGCUUUUCUAAUGUCAAGUAUCUUUUCCUUAGACCAUGAGAUCGUGUAACACCCGGAUACCGUAGGAGUGCUUUGGGUGUACCAAACGUCACAAAGUAACUGGGUGACUAUAAAGGUAUACUACGGGUAUCUCCGAAAGUGUCUGUUGGGUUGACACGGAUCGAGACUGGGAUUUGUCACUCCGUAUGACGGAGAGGUAUCUCUGGGCCCACUCGGUAAUGCAUCAUCAUAAUGAGCUCAAAGUGACCAAGUGUCUGGUCACGGGAUCAUGCAUUACGGUACGAGUAAAGUGACUUGCCGGUAACGAGAUUGAACAAGGUAUUGGGAUACUGACGAUCGAAUCUCGGGCAAGUAACAUACCGAUUGACAAAGGGAAUUGUAUACGGGGUUGCUUGAAUCCUCGACAUCGUGGUUCAUCCGAUGAGAUCAUCGAGGAGCAUGUGGGAGCCAACAUGGGUAUCCAGAUCCCGCUGUUGGUUAUUGACCAGAGAGCCGUCUCGGUCAUGUCUACGUGUCUCCUGAACCCGUAGGGUCUACACACUUAAGGUUCGGUGACGCUAGGGUUAUAGAGAUAUUAGUAUGCAGCAAACCGAAAGUUGUUUGAAGUCCCGGAUGAGAUCCCGGACAUCACGAGGAGUUCCGGAAUGGUCCGGAGGUAAAGAAUUAUAUAUGGGAAGUCGAGUUUCGGCCAUCGGGAAAGUUUCGGGGGUCACCGGUAUUAUACCGGGACCACCAGAAGGGUCCCGGAGGUCCACCGGGUGGGGCCACCCAUCUCGGAGGGCCCCAUGGGCUGAAGUGGGAGGGGAACCGGCCCCUGGUGGGCUGGUGCGCCCCCCCUUGCCCCCCCCUGCGCCUAGGGUUGGGAACCCUAGGGGUGGGGGCGCCUCCACUUGCCUUGGGGGGGCAAGCCACCCCCCUUGGCCGCCGCCCCCCUAGGAGAUCCCAUCUCCUAGGGCCGGCGCCCCCCGGGGACCCUAUAUAUAGAGGGGGAGGGAGGGCAGCCGCACCCUUGCACUUGGCGCCUCGCUUCCCCCUUGCUACACCUCUCCCUCCCGCAGACGCUUGGCGAAGCCCUGCCGGGAUCCCUGCUGCAUCCACCACCACGCCGUCAUGCUGCUGGCUCUUCCUCAACCUCUCCUUCCCCCUUGCUGGAUCAAGAAGGAGGAGACAUCUCCCUGACCGUACGUGUGUUAAACGCGGAGGAGCCGUCCGUUCGGCGCUAGGAUCUCCGGUGAUUUGGAUGACGACGAGUACGACUCCCUCAACCCCGUUCCCUUGAACGCUUCCGCUCGAUCUACAAGGAUAUGUAGAUGCACUCCUCUCUCUCGUUGCUAGAUGAACUCAUAGAUUGAUCUUGGUGAAACCGUAGGAAAUUUUUUAUUUUCUGCAACAUUCCCCAACAAUCCCCUAGCUUUGGGAGCAUUAGAUCUAAUAAUCUUGUGAACCCGAAUUGUAAUUUGUCUGCAACCAUGUAUGCAGAGCUAUUACAAGUGCACUUAUUAAGGCUGCGAUAUUGAGAAGCAAAUUGAGCGAUCUUCCUAGGAACCACAUGUUGUGAUAAACACAUAUGAACUGAAAGAGGUGCAUACUUGAUCUUCAUGAGAUCUUUCACUCUAAAAAGGGAUAUAUUCUAAAAACAUAUUACAUUGGGUAUGUAGAGUUUUAGAGCUUUCUACUAGCACCAGGUUCAUGAUAUUGUCAAAGAUAAACUUGAUUCAAGAUAAAUGCAACCUUUCCUAUAUAGUCUACUUUUAUUGAAUUAUUGCUGAAAUUAAGAGGCGCAUUACAAGUCUAAGGAGUUUUCAAGCUUUGUGUACAAUGUAAUAGUGACACGCAUGGCGUGAAGUUGAGUGAUACUAAUCCUAUUUAAUCAUGGAGAAGGUGUGGGCUGACUGCCGUGGCGUCGAUGGAAUGCUGGUAGUGAGAAGCCGUGACAGGGAGAGGUCGUGGCGGGGAGAGUAGGCCAGGGGCGCACGGCAGAUGUGUUCUACUUCACAUUGAGAGAAUUCUGGUGGGUUUCUCUAAUAGUAUGCCAAACUAACUAACAAUUGUUAGUUAACUGUAUCGCAGCGCCGCACUUCUUAUUCUUGGAUUAAGCCUAAUGCUUGCUCUACCAUUCAUGUAGUACUGUUGUGAACUCAUAGGUAAAACCAUACUCUAUCCAAUACAGAGUUAGCAUAGCUUAGCCUGAUUAGGAGGGCAAGAUUAUUACUUUGGAUUGCUUUACGUAGAUUGGCAUGGCUGAUCUUCCCUUCAAUUAUCAUUGCUACUUUAUGUAUUAAUUCCAUUGUUCUUCACUUGAUCUUGGGAUCCAUGUUCCAGUGACUUCCUAAACUUUUACUUGAUGAUGAGAAGUUCCUAUUUUAAUUUUUCGUUCACUUGAUCUUCAAGUUUACAGGGUUGAUGGAUCCAUGUUUCAGCGACUUUAUAGAAGUGUGUUUACUUAUCUAGCUUUCUGUUUGAAAUCCAUAGACAUUUUCCAAAAUUCUCUUAUCAAUGCACGAGUUUCCUUUCUUCAUUAACAUGUUAAGUUCCUUAUUCAACAAUGAUUUUCAGGCCAAAUCAGAGGCUGCAGGUUUUACCAUUGAAGAGAGAAAAUUAUGAGAAAACAACAAUAUAUGAGAGGCUUCGCUGAUACCUUCAAAAGCUACAUCUCAAUAAUGUUGUGGGUUACACCUUCUGGCUUGAAAAUCAGCUCCAUAACAAGAUGAUUGGAGGGGACUGGAUGUAAAUGCUCUAACAUUAUUGUGUUCGAUACUACGUGUGUUCGUUGAUUGUCAAAAAAAAAUGUAUGUUAGCUGAGACGGUAUUGUUCUCGGUUAGUCUUUAGUAGUAUCGUUGAUUGUCAAAAAAAAAAUGUAUGUUAGCUGAGACAGUAUUGUUCUCGGUUAGUCUUUAGCUCCGUGAAUUUUAUCUUAAAAAACUUUAAAACCCGUGGCAACGCACGGGCAUUGUACUAGUGGAUUUUGUUUAUCACUUAAUUGAGGAUGCACUAAAUUAUAGU